UUCGGCGCGGCGUGAGGCUUUCACGCCCGGCCGCUGUCCGCGGUCUCCGUCAGCCACGGCAGGGCGCCGCGGUCGCCGCCCGUGCCGAGGC
rnacentral:tRNA from 1 species